rnacentral:misc_RNA from 1 species
AGAAGUCAGAAAACGUCAGUAAGGUACACCAUCCCUUUGCUAUUAGCUUUCUCUUCUUUGCCCAGAAAAAUUUUAUAAUCUUGAGCAGGAAGAAGAAGACAAGAUGUCAUUUUGCGUUUUAAUGCUAUACUAUGCCUCAAAAGCAUUUUUAAUUCUAGACUAUUUAACUUUAGAUUUUUUCAAUUGCCUAAAAUCUCGGAGCUUGCUUCAUUAAAGGAAAAAAAAAAAAA